GACGAACGCUGGCGGCGUGCUUAACACAUGCAAGUCGAACGGAAAGGCCCUGCUUUUGUGGGGUGCUCGAGUGGCGAACGGGUGAGUAACACGUGAGUAACCUGCCCUUGACUGUGGGAUAACUUCAGGAAACUGGGGCUAAUACCGGAUAGGAGCUCCUGCUGCAUGGUGGGGGUUGGAAAGUUUCGGCGGUUGGGGAUGGACUCGCGGCUUAUCAGGUUGUUGGUGGGGUAGUGGCUUACCAAGGCUUUGACGGGUAGCCGGCCUGAGAGGGUGAGCGGCCACAUUGGGACUGAGAUACGGCACAGACUCGUAUGGGAGGCAGCAGUGGGGAAUAUUGCACAAUGGGCGGAAGCCUGAUGCAGCAACGCCGCGUGGGGGAUAACGGCCUUCGGGUUGUAAACUGCUUUCGCCUGUGACGAAGCGUGAGUGACGGUAAUGGGUAAAGAAGCACCGGCUAACUACGUG
rnacentral:rRNA from 1 species